rnacentral:rRNA from 1 species
GACGAACGCUGGCGGCGUGCUUAACACAUGCAAGUCGAACGGAAAGGCCCUGCUUUUGUGGGGUGCUCGAGUGGCGAACGGGUGGGUAACACGUGAGUAACCUGCCCUUGACUUUGGGAUAACUUCAGGAAACUGGGGCUAAUACCGGAUAGGAGCUCCUGCUGCAUGGUGGGGGUUGGAAAGUUUCGGCGGUUGGGGAUGGACUCGCGGCUUAUCAGCUUGUUGGUGGGGUAGUGGCUUACCAAGGCUUUGACGGGUAGCCGGCCUGAGAGGGUGACCGGCCACAUUGGGACUGAGAUACGGCCCAGACUCCUACGGGAGGCAGCAGUGGGGAAUAUUGCACAAUGGGCGGAAGCCUGAUGCAGCAACGCCGCGUGCGGGAUGACGGCCUUCGGGUUGUAAACCGCUUUCGCCUGUGACGAAGCGUGAGUGACGGUAACGGGUAAAGAAGCACCGGCUAACUACGUG